CCAUUUCCAUAUCUACUACCUGAAAUUUAGUUUCUUUAACAACACCUGCAGCAAAAGUUGUUAGAAUUACCUCUCCUUUUGUUACCACACUUGAAUUGUCGACUCGGACAAGGUAUGCGCCUUAGGUAUCAUUUUGUCUUCAGUUUGCAUUUCACGUAAUACACUUAAUAGUAUAAUAUUUACGGAACUUCCCGGAUCAAUCAAAACUCGUUUUACAUUAGUAUCAUGUACAAGUAAAGAUAUUACCAGUGCGUCGUUAUGUGGGGUCAUUACUCCUUCGGUAUCUGCAUCAUCGAAAGAAAUACUUUCGUUUUCUAAAUCCUGCCGUACCCGUUUCCCGUGUGUUAUCGUUACUUUAGAAACCUUGUUGGAAGCCGUAUAUGUUACACCGUGAAUAUCUUCUCCCCCACUUAUAACAUUCACGGUUCUCUUGGGUGAAGGGGGCUUUGGUGGUUCUUGCCUAUUUUUCAUAUAGGCUUGCUUACCUUUCUCACUAAAUAACUCAGUGAGAUACCCUUGUUUCAAUAGAUGAUCCACUUCACUUUGUAAGAAUCUACAUUCUGAAGUUUAAUGCCCGUGAUCAUUGUGGAAUUCGCACCAAUCUAUUUGGAUUUGACCGCAUCUCUUUUGGCCAUCGUACCUUAUCUCCCAUGCUCCUCAAAACAGCUACGAGCUCGGAGGUAGUGACAUUAAAGUUAUAUCCACCAAACCUUGCCUUUAAACUUCUGUCAUCAUCUCAUGACUCUUGUCUGUUUCGGUCGUUUCUGAACCUUGAUGAAGAACCAGAUUCCCUGUUCCUCGAUUUUUGAUCAUACCGUUGACUAUCCUGCUUUGACCGUGAGUCUUUCCCUGCAGGUCCCAUAUAUGGAUCAUACCUAUUCUUACCUGAUCUCUUUUCGAUCUCUGAUCUCAUGGAACUGCUCCUUUCUUCAUGAUGAAAUUGGGGAACGGUAUCUUCCUCGAUUCGCAGCUUCGUACUGUACCUGUUAUAAACAUCAUUCCAAGUAGUUGCAGGAAAUUCACAAAGACUUUCCUUAAGCCUUCUCGUGGCUUCUGAACUUUUGUCAUUUAAGUUGCUUGCAAAAGCUAUUGCAGCCCAAUUAUCAGGAACGCGAGGCAAAGUCAUUCUUUCACGUUGGAAUCUAUGAACAAAAUCUCUGAGCAACUCGGAGUCCCCUUGUUUGAUUUUGAAAAUAUCCUCCAUUCUUUUCUCAACCUUUUGAGCUCUCGAGUGUGCUUUAAUAAAAGAAUCUGCAAGCUCAGCAAAAGAAUUUAUAGAAUUUUCAGGUAAAAGAGAAUACCAGGUUAAUGCGCCCUUGGUUAGUGUUUCUCCAAAUUUCUUGACCAGUACUGAUUCAAUUUCUUGUUUGGUCAAGUCAUUGCCUUUCACGCCUGUUGUAAAUGCAGUCACGUGGUCACGUGGAUCUGUAGUACCAUCGUAUUUUGGGAUGUCGGGUAUUUUGAACUUUUUAGGAAUUGGAAGGGGAGCAGCAUUUGGCUUCCAAGGUUGUUGUGAAUAUUUGUCCAUAUCCACUCCUCUAAUCACAGGUGGAACUCCGGGGAUUUGCUCUAUGCGUUCGUUUUGUUCCUUAAGCUGUUUCUGCAAGGUUAGUACUAAAUUUUGCCAAUGAGAAGUAGUUGAAUUACCUGGUUCCCCCUCCUGUGAAUCACUGGGGGUUGCUCCAUUACCCGAAUUAAUUAGCCCAGAACGGCAAUUUUCCAACGUGUUGUCAUUUGGUGUUGACGGUGCAGCAGGUAAUCGAUGGAUUAGAGCUUCUAAAGCUUUGUCAACCCGUGCGUCAAUUAUUUUCUGUAAAACCUCAUCUUUUCCAUCAACAUGCUCAGAUUGAUCAUUAGGAGUGCCCUCACGAGAUCCACGUGGAGAACCUUGAGGGGAAAGAUCAUCACGUUGAUCUCCAUCCACUUGAUGUGCUUGAUUUUCAUGAAUGCUUUCGUUGUUGUUUGACAUGAUGAUAACAACAGGUAGAAUGUAACGUAAAAAGAAUAGAUUAUCAGAUUCCCGGUAACAGAACCAAUUUGUUUAACCAAAAAUCUGAGUCUUUGGUCAAAGCUAGAAAUAAAGAGAAAUUUGGGUUACUGAUAAUUUGGAGACGAAAAUAAUAGAAGAUUUCUGAGAAUAAUAAAGUAAUAAGUAGUUUUGUAUUUCAGUGUAAUCUCAAUAAUAUUUCGUGUUCUUACAGAUGUUGAGUCCUUCUCUUUUUAUAGUUGAUUCUAGGAGAAAGUGUAAUGCCUUUGUCUUAAUGGGGCAAUUAUGAGCAAUAAAUAAUAUUAGAAGAAACGUUACACAAUCAUUUCUAUUUAAUUCAAAUUUUCUAACGUAUUUGAUAUUUAAUGUUGUAUUUAGACUCUUUUACAUCAUCAGAUUCGUAUCUUCAACUUCUUCCGAUCUUCGGUCUUUAAAUGACUCGAAUAGGUACGAGACUCGUGCCAUUUGAGUAACGGUCCACACCUAUGUUGCUUUCUUCUCCCCAUAUCUGUUGUCGCCCGUGCCUCUUGGCUAUUUAUUACGUUUUGACCUUUUGACCAGUCCACGUGUCAUGACACGUCAUCUUCAAUAUUCAGACUCAAUUUUUUCCCAAUACAGUAGCCUUGGUCCAAACUCGGGAUUUGUUUUUAAAAAUCCAUUUAAUAUGUAUAAAAAUAUAAAUUUAGAACCUCGCAACUCAAAAAGGCUAGAAUCCUGAACCUCUAAGCAUCAAAUUUUGGCUCCGCCGCUGCUAACAAACGUAAACAUCCAUAUGGGUAAAGGUCUAAUGCCAUUACUAAGAUUUAUUCUAGGAAAAGCAUACUUCAACAAGAAAUUCUCUAAUUUCAAAUAAGCAAAGUUGUCUCCUUUGAUAAUUGAAAGUGCUGGAUUAGAGGGGAGGGGUUCUAAAAUCUAAAUUAUCCUAUUUACUUCAAACUUGUAAUUAUCCCAAGAGAAAUUUCGAAAUUAAGGCUAUUGUAUAGACUACAUAGAAAGAAAAAAAUGCUCCAUCACAAUGUAUGAACUAAAAGCCACUUAAGCAGAUUUCUGGCUAGGCCACGAAGUUAAAGUUAACUGCAUAUUAUCAGCCACAUAGAAUACACACAUAUGGCGAGCAAAAGUGCAUAUUAAUGGAGUAUAUAGACAUGGGAAGAGUACCUAAAAAAAGCGGCACGUCGCGCGUGAGAAGGUCGAGAAGAAGGGAUUUCCGUUGGGAGGCAGUGGAGGCGGAUGAUUGCUGAGCGCGUGGGAAAUAGAGGUUAUCAAGUCCUGAAAGCCUGUCUGAUAUUUUCUCCAUGGAUUGGUUACUCAAACUUCUGGCCAUAGACGUCGAGCCCUCCACUUUCACAUUUACAGAGCCCUAGAUUUUGAUUCCCUUUUGCGACCAGUAUAACACUAAAAGAAAUAAAUUCUCCUUUGUUUUGAUUUUGUCUGAGUCGGUCCGGUCAGACCUCAGACAUACCUUUACAAAUUUGCCCUUGAAACACAGUGUUUAUUUAGCCUUCAGCUCAUAGAGGCAUCUGUUCGUUUUUCUUUUCCUU
rnacentral:lncRNA from 1 species